rnacentral:tRNA from 1 species
GCGCCCGUAGCUCAGCUGGAUAGAGCAACAGCCUUCUAAGCUGUGGGUCGUAGGUUCAAAUCCUACUGGGCGCG